AAGCCCCCCACCUUCUUCGGACUCGAUCAAAACGGAGAAGAACUUCGACGAUCCAAGGUUCAGGUGCACACAAGUCAACGGGGCCAUAAAUGGCCGUUUUGGUGCCACGGGACAAAGGGGAGCCGAACCUCGGGAGUUGGACGUGCUGACGAUGCACGUGGAAGGGGUACAGUGCUAGGAGGAAGUUAAGGUUAGGGUGGCCAGUUUCGAUUUAGGCUUUUGGGCCUAUUGGCCAUCCGAGUUUGGGCUUAAAUUUGGUUUGGACCAUUUGUAGGUUAGGCCUGCUUGAUUGUAAUUGGGUAGUGUAGUGGAUUUGGUGGAGUUUGGGCUUUUUGGGUUUUCGGUAUUGUAAAUGGAUUUUAAUAAAUUUGGAUUUUAUUUUA